CAGCCAUGCCGCGUGUGUGAAGAAGGCCUUUUGGUUGUAAAGCACUUUAAGCAGUGAAGAAGACUCUUCGGUUAAUACCCGGAGACGAUGACAUUAGCUGCAGAAUAAGCACCGGCUAACUCUGUGCCAGCAGCCGCGGUAAUACAGAGGGUGCAAGCGUUAAUCGGAAUUACUGGGCGUAAAGCGAGCGUAGGUGGCUUGAUAAGUCAGAUGUGAAAUCCCCGGGCUUAACCUGGGAACUGCAUCUGAAACUGUUAGGCUAGAGUAGGUGAGAGGGAAGUAGAAUUUCAGGUGUAGCGGUGAAAUGCGUAGAGAUCUGAAGGAAUACCGAUGGCGAAGGCAGCUUCCUGGCAUCAUACUGACACUGAGGCUCGAAAGCGUGGGUAGCAAACAGGAUUAGAUACCCUGGUAGUCCACGCCGUAAACGAUGUCUACUAGUCGUUGGGUCCCUUGAGGACUUAGUGACGCAGCUAACGCAAUAAGUAGACCGCCUGGGGAGUACGGCCGCAAGGUUAAAACUCAAAUGAAUUGACGGGGGCCCGCACAAGCGGUGGAGCAUGUGGUUUAAUUCGAUGCAACGCGAAGAACCUUACCUGGUCUUGACAUAUCUAGAAUCCUGCAGAGAUGCGGGAGUGCCUUCGGGAAUUAGAAUACAGGUGCUGCAUGGCUGUCGUCAGCUCGUGUCGUGAGAUGUUGGGUUAAGUC
rnacentral:rRNA from 1 species